rnacentral:rRNA from 1 species
AGAGUUUGAUCCUGGCUCAGGACGAACGCUGGCGGCGUGCCUAAUACAUGCAAGUCGAGCGGGUUGUUCCUUCGGGAACAGCUAGCGGCGGACGGGUGAGUAACACGUAGGCAACCUGCCUGUAAGACCGGGAUAACGAUCGGAAACGAUAGCUAAGACCGGAUAAUUGGCUUUGGCGCAUGCUGAAGCUAUGAAACACG